AGCAGUCGCCGCGGUAACACGAAGGGGGCUAGCGUUGUUCGGAAUUACUGGGCGUAAAGCGCACGUAGGCGGACAUUUAAGUCAGGGGUGAAAUCCCGGGGCUCAACCCCGGAACUGCCUUUGAUACUGGGUGUCUUGAGUGUGGAAGAGGUUAGUGGAAUUGCGAGUGUAGAGGUGAAAUUCGUAGAUAUUCGCAGGAACACCAGUGGCGAAGGCGGCUAACUGGUCCAUAACUGACGCUGAGGUGCGAAAGCGUGGGGAGCAAACAGGAUUAGAUACCCCGGUAGUCCCUGUCUCUUAUAA
rnacentral:rRNA from 1 species